AGUUAUGGCAGCUGUGCGUGGGAGACCUUCGGGUCUGCUGGGUUUUACUUCUUGCCCCGGUCUUGCACACCUACGCACAGUUGCCACCCUC
rnacentral:antisense_RNA from 2 species